UGAUACUGAUAGGUCUUUGUAUAUGUUUUGGUUCGGAUUUUCCUAUUUACGAGAUGUGAAAUUAUUGAGAUUUUCACCAUACCUUGAUAUAAAAGACUGUCUUAGAACUGGGAAUUUGGAAUUCUCCUUUCAGUUAGUAAUUUCUAGAAAUCUUAAUGUCAGAAUGAUGGUAAAAAAAUCAUUUUUUUUUGGAGAAUAUAGUAGAAAACAUUAGGAAAGUCAUUUUCCCUGUCAAUCUUUCGAAGAAGAAAAGGUUUAUAAAAAAUGCAAAACUUGUUUUAGGUGUUUUCAUUCUGAAUCGUUUGUUGGUGUUGAAUUUGGGUUGGAUUAUGCAGGCAUACUACGGCGGAUAUGUUCCUGGAUGACCCUAAUUCCAUUAGAAAGGUUGGUCUGAUAGGUCCUUGGAUAUGUUUUGGUUCGGAUUUUCCUAUUUCCGAGAUGUGAAAUUAUUGAUAUUUUCACCAUACCUUGAUAUAAAAGACUGUCUUAGAACUGGGAAUUUGGAAUUCUCCUUUUAGUUAGUAAUUUCUAGAAAUCUUAAUGUCGAGAAUGAUGGUAAAAAAAUCUUUUUUUUUUGGAGAAUAUAGUAGAAAACAUUAGGAAAGUCAUUUUCCUUGUCGAUCUUUCGAAGAAGAAAAAGUUCAUAAAAAAUGC
rnacentral:lncRNA from 1 species